UCUGGCGGUCCUUGGCCGUCCGAGUUGUAAUCUAGAGAAGUGUUACCCGCGUCGGACCGUGUACAAGUCUCCUGGAAUGGAGCGUCAUAGAGGGUGAGAAUCCCGUCUUUGACACGGACUACCGAGGCUUCUGUGGUGCGCUCUCAAAGAGUCGAGUUGUUUGGGAAUGCAGCUCAAAAUGGGUGGUAAAUUCCAUCUAAAGCUAAAUAUUGGCGAGAGACCGAUAGCGAACAAGUACCGUGAGGGAAAGAUGAAAAGAACUUUGGAAAGAGAGUUAAACAGUACGUGAAAUUGCUGAAAGGGAAACGCUUGAAGUCAGUCGCGUCCUUCGGGAAUCAGCCUUCCUUUUGGUUGGCGUACUUCCUGGUGGACGGGCCAGCAUCAGUUUUGACCGGUGGAAAAAGUUGUAGGGAAUGUGGCACCUCCGGGUGUGUUAUAGCCUUGCUUCGUAUACAUCGGUUGGGACUGAGGAACUCAGCACGCCGCAAGGCCGGGAUUCGUCCACGUUCGUGCUUAGGAUGCUGGCAUAAUGGCUUUAAUCGACCC
rnacentral:rRNA from 1 species